AUUUAAAUAGUAUUAAUGUACAUUUAAUUUCCAAUUAAAAAGUCUAAAUUAUUUAGUUUAAAUA
rnacentral:tRNA from 1 species